rnacentral:rRNA from 1 species
UACGUAGGGGGCUAGCGUUGUCCGGAUUUAUUGGGCGUAAAGAGCGUGUAGGCGGCCAGGUAGGUCUGGUGUGAAAACUCGAGGCUUAACCUCGAGAUGUCAUCGGAAACCAUCUGGCUAGAGUCCGGAAGAGGAGAGUGGAAUUCCUGGUGUAGCGGUGAAAUGCGCAGAUAUCAGGAAGAACACCAAUGGCGAAGCAGCUCUCUGGGACGGUACUGACGCUGAGACGCGAAAGCGUGGGAGCGAACAGG